rnacentral:rRNA from 1 species
AGACGACUGGGUUGAUAGGCCAGAUGUGGAAGCCCGGUAACGGGUGGAGCUGACUGGUACUAAUAGGCCGAGGGCUUGUCCUCAGUUG